CAUCUGAACUGGUUUAUCUCCACAUUUAUCACAUAGGCUUUGUGAUGUGCUGCGUGAUACACGAGCUCGUGAGCUCAUUUUGAUCUCAUAUCCUCUGUGUUUGGGUGCAGUAGUCGCGGAGAGACCCGUGAAAGCUGUGGCUUAUAGUGGACGGACGCUUUAGCAAAGAACUGAAACCCACCCACAACAGCAGGAAUGUCUUCUGUAUGGGAUGAUUUGGAUCUUCUCGGGAUCUAAUCCUCC